AACGAACGCUGGCGGCAUGCCUAACACAUGCAAGUCGAACGAGACCUUCGGGUCUAGUGGCGCACGGGUGCGUAACGCGUGGGAACCUGCCCUUAGGUUCGGAAUAACUCCCCGAAAGGGGUGCUAAUACCGGAUAAUGUCUUCGGACCAAAGAUUUAUCGCCUUUGGAUGGGCCCGCGUUGGAUUAGCUAGUUGGUAGGGUAAAAGCCUACCAAGGCGACGAUCCAUAGCUGGUCUGAGAGGAUGAUCAGCCACACUGGGACUGAGACACGGCCCAGACUCCUACGGGAGGCGGCAGUGGGGAAAAUUGGACAAUGGGCGAGAGCCUGAUCCAGCAAGGCCGGGUGGGUGAUGAAGGCCUUGGGGUUGUAAAGCUCUUUUACCCGGGAUGAUAAUGACAGUACCGGGAGAAUAAGCUCCGGCUAACUCCGU
rnacentral:rRNA from 1 species